rnacentral:misc_RNA from 1 species
UUGAAAUAAACCUGAUGGGUUGUUGCUGGUUCUCUAGGGAGCAUGUGCACGCCUUGUCAUCUUUAUAUCUCCACCUGUGCACUUUUUGUAGACCUUUCAGGUCUAUGUUGCUUCAUUUUACCCCAAUUGUAUGUCAAUAGAAUGUUGUGCCUAUAUAAUAUAUA